rnacentral:rRNA from 1 species
GAUGAACGCUAGCGGGAGGCCUAAUACAUGCAAGUCGAGCGGUAGAGUGACUUCGGUUGCUUGAGAGCGGCGAACGGGUGAGUAACGCGUACACAAUCUACCUUUAAGAGGGGAAUAGCCCUGGGAAACUGGGAUUAAUGCCCCAUGGCAUCACGAGACGGCAUCGUUUUGUGAUUAAAGCUGAGGUGCUUAGAGAUGAGUGUGCGUCUGAUUAGCUAGUUGGUGCGGUAACGGCGCACCAAGGCGACGAUCAGUAGGGGGCGUGAGAGCGUGGACCCCCACACGGGUACUGAGACACGGACCCGACUCCUACGGGAGGCAGCAGUAAGGAAUAUUGGUCAAUGGAGGAAACUCUGAACCAGCCAUCCCGCGUGCAGGAAGAAUGCCCUAUGGGUUGUAAACUGCUUUUAUCUGGGAAGAAAAGUCGGGAUUUAUCCUGAUCUGACGGUACCAGAGGAAUAAGCACCGGCUAACUCCGUGCCAGCAGCCGCGGU